rnacentral:lncRNA from 1 species
AGAUAUUGACCCUUUGGUAUAGGACUCCUGAAGUCCUUCUGGGAGCUACACAUUACUGUUGGCUGUAUAUUUGGUACUUAUCCGUUUCCUACAGAGUGUGUUUGAACUUCAAUAUAAUUGAAUUGUACAGUUGUGUCAUUGGUUUAACAGUAUAUUCUAUCUGAUUUUAUAGCUUUACUUGUAACAAAACAAGCACUCUUCUCUGGAGAUUCUGAACUGCAGCAGCUCCUGCAUAUAUUCAGGUUCAGCAAUAUGGCAUCCACUUCUUCCUUACCAAAAAAGGUGCCGUUUACUUUGUUCCUUUGUCAUUUGGACUAAUUGGAAUUCAUGGAUUUUUUUUUCUCUACGUUGAUUAGGUACUCCAAAUGAACAAGUGUGGCCAGGUAUAAACAAACUCAAUGAACUGGCAUGAAUACCCCCAGUGGAGCCCUCAAAAGUUU